rnacentral:rRNA from 1 species
GGUGAACGCUGGCGGCCGUGCCUAACACAUGCAAGUCGAGCGGUGCAGUUUGAAGCUUCGGUGGAAAGCUGCAUAGCGGCGGACGGGUGAGGAAAACGUAGGAACGUGCCCCUUGGAGUUGGAUAGCCACGGGAAACUGUGGGUAAACCGACAUAGACUCGAGAGAGUAAAGGCCGAAAGGCGCCAAGGGAGCGGCCUGCGGCCCAUCAGGUAGUUGGUAGUGUAAAGGACUACCAAAGCCGACGACGGGUAGCCGGUCUGAGAGGAUGGCCGGCCACAAGGGCACUGAGAGACGGGCCCUACUCCUACGGGAGGCAGCAGUGGGGGAUUUUGGACAAUGGGCGAAAGCCUGAUCCAGCGACGCCGCGUGGAGGACGAAGCCCUUCGGGGUGUAAACUCCUUUUCUCAGGGAAAAAAGGAUGAUGGUACCUGAGGAAUAAGCCCCGGCUAACUACGUG